rnacentral:rRNA from 1 species
CAGCCGCCGCGGUAAAACCAGCACCUCAAGUGGUCAGGAUGAUUAUUGGGCCUAAAGCAUCCGUAGCCCGUUUUGUAAGUUUUCGGUUAAAUCCAUGCGCUUAACGUAUGGGCUGCCGGGAAUACUGCAUAACUAGGAAGUGGGAGAGGUAGACGGUACUCGGUAGGAAGGGGUAAAAUCCUUUGAUCUAUUGAUGACCACCUGUGGCGAAGGCGGUCUACCAGAACACGUUCGACGGUGAGGGAUGAAAGCUGGGGGAGCAAACCGGAUUAGAUACCCGGGUAGUCCCAGCUGUAAACUAUGCAAACUCAGUGAUGCAUUGGCUUAUGGCCAAUGCAGUGCUGCAGGGAAGCCGUUAAGUUUGCCGCCUGGGAAGUACGUACGCAAGUAUGAAACUUAAAGGAAUUGGCGGGAGAGCACCA